GACGAACGCUGGCGGCGUGCCUAACACAUGCAAGUCGAACGCCCUAGCAAUAGGGAGUGGCAGACGGGUGAGUAACGCGUGGGAACCUUCCCAAUGGUACUGAAUAGCCCAGGGAAACUUGGAGUAAUACCGUAUACGCCCGAGAGGGGAAAGAUUUAUCGCCAUUGGAUGGGCCCGCGUAGGAUUAGCUAGUUGGUGAGGUAAUGGCUCACCAAGGCGACGAUCCUUAGCUGGUCUGAGAGGACGACCAGCCACACUGGGACUGAGACACGGCCCAGACUCCUACGGGAGGCAGCAGUGGGGAAUAUUGGACAAUGGGCGCAAGCCUGAUCCAGCCAUGCCGCGUGAGUGAUGAAGGCCUUAGGGUUGUAAUGCUCUUUUAGCAGGGAAGAUAAUGACGGUACCUGCAGAAUAAGCCCCGGCUAACUUCGUGCCAGCCGCCGCCGUAAUAC
rnacentral:rRNA from 1 species